rnacentral:rRNA from 1 species
AUUGAACGCUGGCGGCAGGCCUAACACAUGCAAGUCGAACGAGUGGCGGACGGGUGAGUAAUGUCUGGGAAACUGCCCGAUGGCGGGGGAUAACUACUGGAAACGGUAUCUAAUACCGCAUACCCUCUGAUGUGUCCAGAUGGGAUUAGCUAGUAGGGGGGGUAACGGCUCACCUAGGCGCCGAUCCCUAGCUGGUCUGAGAGGAUGACCAGCCACACUGGAACUGAGACACGGUCCAGACUCCUACGGGAGGCAGCAGUGGGGAAUAUUGAACAAUGGGCGCAAGCCGGAUGCAGCAAUGCCGCGUGUAUGAAGAAGGCCUUCGGGUUGUAAAGUACUUUAAGCGAGGAGGCGUUACUCGCAGAAGAAGCACCGGCUAACUCCGUGCCAGCAGCCGCGGUAAUAC